rnacentral:pre_miRNA from 1 species
CAACCUCUGCAGGCUGACCAGCCUCCAGUGUGGACUGGGCAAGUAUCUCUUCAAGACAUUCACCCUCAAGCACAACCAGAAGC